rnacentral:lncRNA from 1 species
UCCGAUGAGAACUCCUCCUAUUCCUUACGGACACGGCAAACCAGAUCAAAAAGAAGAUCAACAAAUAUGCAUUCUCUGGUGGAAGAGAUACAAUUGAGGAGCACCGGGAAAAAGGAGGUGACUGUGAGGUAGAUGUGUCAUACAUGUACCUAACCUUCUUCUUAGAAGAUGAUGAAAAGUUAGAGGAGAUUCGCCAACAGUAUUCCACAGGCAAUAUGCUCACAGGAGAGCUAAAGGCUGAGCUUAUUAAGAUUCUCCAGGCAUUGGUUGCAGAACAUCAAGCCCGAAGAAAAGAAGUGACUGAAGAUCUUGUUAAAGAAUACAUGAAACCCCGGCCUUUAAAUUUCUGAUGGUGUAGACUUGUGCUAGUUUGGCAAUUAUCAGCAGUUUUAUAUUGUUCUGUCCAUUAAGUGGUAAUGUGAAGUCCAGGUGGUUAGGCAGAGACAAGAGUAGUUGAAAAUUAAUUUGUAUUAUUAAUUAUCUUUCAGCUCAUAUUAGAAAGAAAUUUUAUUUUGUUUUGUUUACAGACUGUUAUGUAUUGUAAUAUGAUAAUAUAAGACAGUUUGUAAUUCCGCAUAAUUGUCAAAUCUGAAUACCAUAUGAAAUAAAAAGGCAAUUACUUUUUUUUUUUUUUUUAUUCCUUUCAAAAUUUCUUUUAUCAUCUUGAAGAUUUUUUUUUCAUAUUUCAUGUAUUUAGCACUUGUUAAGCUUCACAUGGCAUCUAAACUUAUGAUUGCAGAUUGUGUAAAAUAUACAAAUAAAAGAUUCUAAAUCUAGGUUUUGUAUAACUUUGUUGAUACUGCACUGUGCUAAAUCAUAUUGUUUGACAUUAGAAGAAUAAGUAUUUAAACUAAAUAUAAAGUUUAGAUUUACAUUAUGUUUGAUAAUGCAUCACAAUCAGUUACAUAUGAUUUUGUUAAAGCAUUGUUUUCAGGUAUUACCAAGGUAUUUAAGGUAUUACCAAGACCAUACAAAGAAAGAUCAUUCAUCCAAAUCUGUUGUAAAAGCACCAUACAUGAUCUAUUCUGUUUAUUCGUAUUUGAUAAUUGGGUGCAACAAAUCUUGGCUGGUGUUGCUGUAUGCAAACAGGUGAAGAAUGUGGGUUUAGGAGGAAUAGGGAGUCAUUUUGGUCACCAUGAAAAGAGAGGCAUUAGCUUAAAUAAUGGCUUGCUGCAAGGGAGCUGUGGUCUUGUAGCAUUCAGGCUGCUUUAAAUAUCCUAGCCUGUUUCUCAAUGCCAUUCAUUGGCAUACUGUAAGAAAUUACAUUCAUAAGGAUAAAUCUAAAAUAUAUGUUGAUAUUUCUUAAUUCUCAAAAAGAGGUACAAAAUUGUAAAUAAUAAUUAACUGGGAAAAGGAGAUAAAAAAAAAUUAUGGCAGCAUAGCAGCUUAUUUCCUGGUCCCCCUUGCUUACUGCAAAGGGCACUAAUGUUCUCUGCACUACAAGCAAAUGGUGCGAGUUUUGAGUCUUUCUUUGAGUGGUCUUUGCUGUUAUUUGUAUACCUUUGUUAAGUAGUUUUUAUUUGAUCACUACCCUUUAUCUAAUUUAUGCAAUUAAUGAAUCCAAUAUAUCAAAUUUUACAGUAAUUCAGUAUUAGCUGCUGGUUUCUGCCUUCUCUCCACUUGUGGACUGUGUAAGGGCGCCUCAUAAUUUAAAAAGGUGAAUGUUUGACUUUAUAGUUAUUUAUGACUUUGUAGUACAAACAUCAGUCUUUUA